rnacentral:rRNA from 1 species
GACGAACGCUGGCGGCGUGCUUAACACAUGCAAGUCGUACGGUAAGGCCCUCUCGGGGGUACACGAGUGGCGAACGGGUGAGUAACACGUGAGUAACCUGCCCACAACUUUGGGAUAACGCUAGGAAACUGGUGCUAAUACUGGAUAUGUGCUCCUGCUGCAUGGUGGGGGUUGGAAAGCUCCGGCGGUUGUGGAUGGACUCGCGGCCUAUCAGCUUGUUGGUGGGGUAGUGGCCUACCAAGGCGGCGACGGGUAGCCGGCCGGGGAGGGUGACCGGCCACAUUGGGACUGAGAUACGGCCCAGACUCCUACGGGAGGCAGCAGUGGGGAAUAUUGCACAAUGGGCGCAAGCCUGAUGCAGCAACGCCGCGUGCGGGAUGACGGCCUUCGGGUUGUAAACCGCUUUCAGCAGGGACGAAGCUUUUUGUGACGGUACCUGCAGAAGAAGCACCGGCUAACUACGUG